GGGAUUAGAGUUUGAUCCUGGCUCAGGAUGGACGCUAGCGGCAGGCCUAACACAUGCAAGUCGAACGGUAACAGGGAAAAGCUUGCUUUUCCGCUGACGAGUGGCGCACGGGUGCGUAACGCGUAUACAAUCUACCUCUUACAGGGGGAUAGCCUUUAGAAAUGAAGAUUAAUACCCCAUGGCAUUAUAAACCGGCAUCGGUUUAUAAUUAAAGUUUCGGCGGUAGGAGAUGAGUAUGCGUUCUAUUAGCUAGUAGGUGUGGUAACGGCACACCUAGGCAACGAUAGAUAGGGGCCCUGAGAGGGGGAUCCCCCACACUGGUACUGAGACACGGACCAGACUCCUACGGGAGGCAGCAGUGAGGAAUAUUGGACAAUGGGCGGAAGCCUGAUCCAGCCAUGCCGCGUGCAGGAAGACUGCCCUAUGGGUUGUAAACUGCUUUUGUACAGGAAGAAACCUUUCCACGUGUGGAGAGCUGACGGUACUGUAAGAAUAAGGACCGGC
rnacentral:rRNA from 1 species